rnacentral:rRNA from 1 species
UAGGGAAUAUUGCAAAAUGGGCGAAAGCCCGAUGCAGCAACGCCGCGUGGGCGAUGAAGGCCUUCGGGUCGUAAAGCCCUUUUUGAGGGGAUGAGGAAGGACAGUACCCUCAGAAUAAGCCUCGGCUAACUACGUGCCAGCAGCCGCGGUAAAACGUAGGAGGCGAGCGUUAUCCGGAUUUACUGGGCGUAAAGCGCGUGCAGGCGGAUUGGAGAGUUGGAUGUGAAAGCUCCCGGCUUAACUGGGAGAGGUCGUUCAAUACUUCCAGUCUUGAGUGCAGUAGAGGGAAGUGGAAUUCCGGGUGUAGUGGUGAAAUGCGUAGAUAUCCGGAGGAACACCAGUGGCGAAAGCGGCUUCCUGGACUGUAACUGACGCUCAGACGCGAAAGCUAUGGUAGCAAACG